rnacentral:misc_RNA from 1 species
AACAUCGCGCACCUGCGGGAACCUGCGGAAGGAUCAUUACCGAGUGAGGGCCCUCCGGGUCCAAACCUCCCACCCGUGUUUAUCGUACCUUGUUGCUUCGGCGGGCCCGCCGCAAGGCCGCCGGGGGGCUUCCGUCCCCGGGCCCGCGCCCGCCGAAGACACCUGUGAAACGCUGUCUGAAGAUUGCAGUCUGAGCGGAAAGCUAAAUUUGUUAAAACUUUUAACAAUGGAUCUCAGAUC